CAGCAGCAGCCGCGGGAAUACAGAGGGUGCGAGCGUUAAUCGGAUUUACUGGGCGUAAAGCGUGCGUAGGCGGCUUCUUAAGUCGGAUGUGAAAUCCCUGAGCUUAACUUAGGAAUUGCAUUCGAUACUGGGAAGCUAGAGUAUGGGAGAGGAUGGUAGAAUUCCAGGUGUAGCGGUGAAAUGCGUAGAGAUCUGGAGGAAUACCGAUGGCGAAGGCAGCCAUCUGGCCUAAUACUGACGCUGAGGUACGAAAGCAUGGGGAGCAAACAGGAUUAGAUACCCGAGUAGUCCCUGUCUCUUAUAC
rnacentral:rRNA from 1 species